GGACAGAUCUAGCGAUGGUGAUUUCGACGAAGAUGUCUCGACCAAUUCUUCAGAUCACAUGGCUCAUAUUUUGGCCCCCUGACGCCUUCCUCUGAUGAGUAUGACCAGUCACCAUACUCUACUCAAUACACCAAAACUUCAUUAAAUUCUGGCAAUGGGCAUCCAAACGCCCGGCGAUGUUUAGUUUGGGCAUGCAAAGCGUGUAAGAAAAAAACAGUAACGAUAGAUAGGAGAAAAGCUGCGACAAUCAGAGAGAGGAGAAGACUUCGUAAGGUAAAUGAAGCAUUUGAGAUCCUUAAGCGAAGGACCAGUUCAAAUCCAAACCAGAGGCUUCCAAAAGUUGAGAUUCUUCGGAACGCUAUCGAUAUAUAGAAUCCUUAGAAGAUAUUUUAACCUCAAGUAGACCUAAAUUGAAAAUGAAUCAGGAUGUGUACGCUGACUACGAAUAUCUGGGAAUAAAUCGGAGCCGUUCCGAAGCAAAUGGAGUUGAUCGAUUGUCAACCUUAAAAUGCGAAAAAUUUGAUCCCUUAGCAGGUACAUUCAUAAAUUUUUUGUUAUCUCUUCCCUUCUGGUGCUGUGCCCACAUCGAUGGCUAUGUCAAAACAUGCGUAUCUCCAAUCGAAACGUUGCAAAUCUUCACUAAAACUUUAAUAUAUAUUUUAUUUCCAAGGAGAGUUAAUGACAGUUUUUCUGAGAUUUUCUAUGAGCUUUUCCCACUCACUUACAAUUAUUCAUAAACAAUCUCGAACAGACAUUUUUUUAAAGUUUUCUUUUAAAAUAUAAAAAGCAUGCUAAGGUAUUUAAACGCUGCAAUUAAGAUACGCAUUAUUCAUAACAUUAGCCAUCCAUAUUUUUACUUUUAAAGGAACCUGUUCGCAAGGAUAUCGGACAUCUAAUCAUACCAUUACUUGCAUAGCACUGACGCACUAUCCAAAAGUAUUCAAAACAUUCCAUCUGUCAUCUACACAAUUUGUAGAACAUUAGGCAAACAAACAGACAACUUGUUCAGAGUGUAUAGAAGUAGUAGUAGUAGUAGUAGUAGUAGUAGUAGUAGUAGUUAGUAGUAGUAGUAGUAGUAGUAGUAGUAGUAGAGUAGUAGUAGUAGUAGUAGUAGUAAUAGUAGUAGUAGUAGUAGUAGUAGUAGUAGUAGUAGAAGUAGUAGCAGUAGCAGAAGUAGUAGUAGUAGUGUGAACUUAUUUUUAACGGUACCUUUACAUCGAAGCCAUUGACACCUCUGAUAAAAGUAACAUGAGGGUGUUUACAAAUACAGGAUUUGCGUUACAAUAGUGAAUAAAUGGUGGAGGAGAUCAAAUAAAGAAAACUCCUAUUCCUCCUCAAAUCCAACGAACUCUGUUGUAUUGAGUUUGAUCGCGCAGAGAGAUUCGCCUUCACUUCGCCGGAUAGGCCGAAACACACAUUUCCGCGUUGAAAUAGUUGCAUGGUCAAUGAAGGCGGUAGACAUACUUGAUAUGUAACUUACCCUGCGUCCGCGUAAUCCCAUAAUAUGCUACAGCAGAGCGCCCUGGAGCCUUCUUUUUAUAAGAUAAGGCCAUCCAUCAUCUUUUUACAAGUCGAAAUAGUUACAUAAUUGGUAAAUAUGCAAAUGGCAUCCAAUCUACAUCUAACCUUUGACGCGUGAUCCCGAGCAAAUCUCGAGAGGAAACUCAGCGAGAAAAAUUCAAAUUACCAAAUAAUUAUGCCAGCAUAAAAUUUACUGACUUGCUUGGCGUGAUGUUUCAUUUGACUCCAGUAGGGUUUGGGUUUUUUUUGCGAGGGGUCUCUAAAAUUGAGAAAUUUGAAUUGACGUAUUCGGAAAACGCUAUGUUCUCACUGACGGAUUCAAUUUGAAAAAGUUCAAUGGGCGCAGUCUUUUACAUUACCUACAUUGCGAAAACAUUCAUUGUAGUCCAUUCUGUAGGGAAGGAAUGAAUCGGAAUCGUUGAAUUGUUUUUCAGUCUAAUUUCUGGACGAAAAUACGUAGGUAACUACAUCUCAACUUAGUAAAAUUUAUACCCUCAGACUGCAUUUUUACCAAUAAGAAGUUAAGCAUUUCCGAGUGAAAUAAUCUCUGAAUUUUAUUCUGAUUUUACGCAAAAUUAGCAAGAUUUUGGAUAGAAAUCGCAUAGUCAUUCAGGACCUUGCAUUAUUUGAAUCAGUCUUGCAAGCUUCAAAUGGAUCACAUUUUGUAAUUCGGAACUACAAUUGCUGGCUCAUGGAUGAAAACACUUAUUGGCAUUUAAGAAAACAGAAAUAUUUCAACCAAACAGAACUAUGUGCGGGUGGGAAAUAUGGGGUGUGCUCGUUAGUUCUCGGGCCGUAAGAGUGAGUGGAAAUUAUAAAGCGCCGGUGACGUCAGCGGUGACGACGAGAGCGAUCCGAGAAGUUGCGCGGUCUUUAACUCAUGAGCCUUGUCCACAAAGCUCUUGUCGCAUGCCCACGGCUCACGAGUCCCGUAUACAGUUGGCACAUAGUUCCGUUUGGUGAAUUUAAAAUCCCGCUUUUCCAAUUCUUCAAAAGGAAUCAAGCCCUUUUUUACAUUCUUUCUUUUCCAGCUCACCAGGAGCACACCUCAUCUUUCCCACCCGCAUAUAGUUUUGUUUGGUAAAAAUACGUUAAACUAAUGGUACUUCCGUUGUUUCUUGAAACAGCAACGAACAGAAAUUAUUGCUCCUAAUAAAUUGCAAAAUGUAUACUCCGAAUGAAGGUUACGUUCUUCCGUCGAGAAAACGACAAAAUGAGCAAGACACAAGGCUCAGCCUAAGAGUUGCUGCUAGGUCAGUUAAUUGCCAAUCGCGGCUAUUAAUUCUGAAUAAGUCAAAAUGAAUACCGAUUCGUUCGCGUCAUUUGUCCCAACAAUUUAUUACACGAAAUUGCCGAAGGAACACAAGGCCGAAGAUACCGGAAUCAGAACGUUUGGUCGCUCCUUAGAUGGGAUCCCAAAGGCGCCGACCUCCCUCAAGAGUCCACCCGAACGACAUCCCCCAUUCAUUUGUCGCGUGCAUCAGUGUAAAAACCGCUUCCGAAACUUCUAACACGAAAAGACCCUUACUUACUUGCAAUUAGACAGGCCUUAAUGCUAUUAAUUCAUACUUGAUAGCUCAUCAUUCCACCCCUUCCAGCUCCCGCUCUCCGCAGCUUCCUUUUAAUUGUUUUUCCGCUGUUUUCAUAGCCGCUUAAUGGCGGCCGCGCGGAGUGCGUCCUGCGUGCAACGCUCAUAAGUCGACAUAUAAUUGAAUCCGUUGUUGCCGGUCGUUGCGGAUAAAACGCGCCUACUUCCACUUGGAGCGGCGCGGAGGAGGCGGAUUUUAGCGGAGCAUCUAGUAACGCCGAUUGAAUCAGGGGCGCAAUUAAUUAUCGAGCUCCGUUUGAUCUGUCUUUGGAUU
rnacentral:lncRNA from 1 species